rnacentral:rRNA from 1 species
AACGCUGGCUGUGUGCCUAAUACAUGCAUGUCGAGCGGAGUUCUUCGGAACUUAGCGGCGAAUGGGUGAGUAACACGUACUUAACAUGCCUUUUAGAUUGGGACAACGAUGAGAAAUUAUCGCUAAUACCGGAUACUUAUAUGGUUCGCAUGAACUAUAUAUAAAAGAAGCCUUUAAAGCUUCACUAAAAGAUUGGGGUGCGGAACAUUAGCUAGUUGGUAAGGUAAUGGCUUACCAAGGCGAUGAUGUUUAGCGGGGUUGAGAGACUGAUCCGCCACACUGGGACUGAGAUACGGCCCAGACUCCUACGGGAGGCAGCAGUAGGGAAUUUUCCACAAUGGACGAAAGUCUGAUGGAGCGACACAGCGUGCAGGAUGAAGGCCUUCGGGUUGUAAACUGCUGUUAUAAGGGAAGAAAAAGCAGUAGAGGAAAUGCUAUUGCCUUGACGGUACCUUGUCAGAAAGCAACGGCUAACUAUGUGCCAGCAGCCGCGGUAAUACAUAGGUUGCAAGCGUUAUCCGGAAUUAUUGGGCGUAAAGCGUCUGUAGGUUGUAUGUUAAGUCUGGCGUGAAAACUUGGGGCUCAACCCCAAAUUGCGUUGGAUACUGGCAUGCUAGAAUUGUGUAGAGGUUAGCGGAAUUCCUAGUGAAGCGGUGAAAUGCGUAGAUAUUAGGAAGAACAUCAACAUGGCGAAGGCAGCUAACUGGGCACAUAUUGACACUGAGAGACGAAAGCGUGGGGAGCAAACAGGAUUAGAUACCCUGGUAGUCCACGCUGUAAACGAUGAUGAUUAGCUGAUAGUARAACUAUCGGCACAGCUAACGCAUUAAAUCAUCCGCCUGAGUAGUAUGCUCGCAAGAGUGAAACUUAAAGGAAUUGACGGGGAUCCGCACAAGCGGUGGAGCAUGUGGUUUAAUUUGAAGAUACGCGUAGAACCUUACCCACUCUUGACAUCUUCCGCAAAGCUAUAGAGAUAUAGUGGAGGCUAACGGAAUGACAGAUGGUGCAUGGUUGUCGUCAGCUCGUGUCGUGAGAUGUUCGGUUAAGUCCUGCAACGAGCGCAACCCUUGUCCUUAGUUAAUUUUCUAGGGAGACUGCCCGAGUAAUUGGGAGGAAGGUGGGGACGACGUCAAAUCAUCAUGCCUCUUACGAGUGGGGCAACACACGUGCUACAAUGGAUGGUACAAAGAGAAGCAAAACGGCGACGUCAAGCAAAUCUCAAAAAACCAUUCUCAGUUCGGAUUGUAGUCUGCAACUCGACUACAUGAAGUCGGAAUCGCUAGUAAUCGUAGAUCAGCUACGCUACGGUGAAUACGUUCUCGGGUCUUGUACACACCGCCCGUCACACCAUGGGAGCUGGUAAUGCCCGAAGUCGGUUUUGUUAACUACGGAGACAACUGCCUAAGGCAGGGCCGGUGACUGGGGUGAAGUCGUAACAAGGUAUCCCUACGAGAACGUGGGGAUGGAUUACCUCCUUUCU